UUAUAUAUCUAUUAUUUUCUUGCUUUUUAAACAAUUUAAUGGUUAUCACCAAAGUAACAUCAAUAAUAUACAAAUUUAUACUCUUAGGAGCAGAAUGAGAGACUGCACUUAAUUUGCACUUAAGCCUUAAGUAUGGUAACUUUUCAUGUUUUUUUUUUUUUUCUGAGACGGAGUCUCUGUCGCCCAGGCUGGAGUGCAGUGGCGCAAUCUCAGUGCACUGCAAGCUCCGCCUCCUGGGUUCACGCCAUUCUCCUGCCUCAGCCUCCUGAGUAGCUGGGACUACAGGUGCCCACCACCACACCCAGUUAAUUUUUUUGUAUUUUUAGUAGAGACGGGGUUUUCACCGUGUUAGCCAGGAUGGUCUCGAUCUCUUGACCUCAUGAUCUGCCCGCCUCAGCCUCCCAAAGUGCUAGGAUUACAGGCGUGAGCCACCGCGCCCGGCCUCAUGUUUUUUCUGUGAAUUAUUUUUGUGUCCUUUGUCCACAUUUUUGUUGAGUUCAACUUUUUCUCUUGUUAAAGCUUAUAUAUUAGGGAAAUUAGAGCUUUUUAAGGAAAAUUAUUAUAUGAAAGUAUUAGGAAUAUUUUCCCCAGGAUCAUCUUUGACUGUGUUUUAUAGUUUCAUUUUUUGUAGUUAAGUGUGCCUCUUUUCCAUGUAGCUUUUGGAUGCUGUAAGAAGCUUUAGGGAGACUUAUUCCACUUCUUAUUCCUAAUGUUCAAAUUUUACUCUGAAAAUUGUUUAUUGACAAUUAGAAUUUUUUUUGUAAUUUUUGAGACAGAGCUUUGCAGUCACCCAGGCUGGAGUAUAGUAGUGCAAUUAUAGUUCACUGCAGCCUGGAACUCCUUAGCUCAAGCGAUUCUUCCACCUCAGCCUCCUGAGUAACUGGGACCACAGGUGCACACCAUCACAGCUGACUAAUUUAAAAAAAAUUUUUUUUUUUUUUUUUUGAGACGGAGCCUCGCUCUGUCGCCCGGGCUGGAGUGCAGUGGCGUGAUCUUGGCUCACUGCAAGCUCCGUCUUCUGGGUUCACGCCAUUCUCCUGCCUCAGCCUCUGGAGUAGCUGGGACUACAGGCGCCUGCCACCACGCCCAGCUAAUUUUUUGUAUUUUUAGUAGAGAUGGGGUUUCACUGUGUUAGCCAGGAUGGUCUCGAUCUCCUGACCUCGUGAUCCGCCACCUCAGCCUCCCAAAGUGCUGGGAUUACAGGCAUGAGCCACCAUGCCCAGCGAUUUUUAAAUGUAAUUUGGAAUCUGGCAAACUUAUUGAGCUAUUAACUACUUUUUAAAAAUACUUGAGAUGUACUUUAUUAUACUAUUAUAGUUAGUACCAUCUAAUGCUUAGUAUCAUCUUUCUCAAAUUAAAAAAAAAUGCAUACCCAAUAAAAUAAUUCAAAGUCUAGAAUUCCAUCAUUCAAUAUGGUAGCCACCACUCAUGUGCAGCAGCUUAGAUUUAUUAAAACUAAAUGCAACUUACAGCCAGGCACGGUGGCAUAAACCUGGAGUCCCAGCACUCGGGAGGCUGAGGCGGGAGUUCGAGACCAGCCUGGGCACAUAGAGACCCUGUCUCUUAAAAAUAAAUAAAUAAAAGUAUUUCCUCAGUUUCCUUGGCCACAUUUCAAGUGCUAACUGAAGCCUAGUGACUACCAAAUUGGGCAGCACACAUAGAGAACAUUUCUGUCAGCUUUGGCUUAGAGACUGUGAAUACAAAGUAGAAGAGCCUCCCUCCAUGUUCCCCACCUGCACUUUCAUGCUGUAGACCUGAUGCUCUUCUGGGUUUCUGUUUUUGCCUUAUCUGGUAGAUAGUUGAGUCACUUGAACAGUAUGCUUGUAUCUUUUAUUAAUUCACCAAUGUUAGUAUUUAUGGACUUCCAUCAUCAGAGAUGUACAACUGGCUCAUUCACACUACCCCCUUUUCCUCUCCCAAUUAUUUAAUUAUAAUUUUCCUCCAAAGAUUUCCUUUUGAACUUGAAAUUAUACCAUAGUCCUCAUGUUUUUGUGUGUAUUUAAAGGAGUCCUCUGGGUUCAGAAUCUUUCAAAGGGGAUCUGGAACCCGGAACCUGUGGAGAUGAUGUUUACCUCGUUCUCUGAGCUGUAGUCGUGUAGCUCACACGCGGCCUUCCAAAGCAGGUUCUCAUACCAAAUUCCCAUUGAUUUUAAGAUACACCAUUAAUUUGAUAAUGAAAAUUUAAAAUGGAAAUGCAGGUUGUGAGACUCAUUCUGAUCUCAGAAAUGUGACAAUGUGGAAAAACUGGCCCCUGGGUGUCCGGCAAAUCCCAGCCCUCUGGGUGGUCAGCUGCCCUUCACUUGUUCCAUCUUGUAAGGAAUGCAGGACCUUUUUUGUUAUGAUGAAGAGUGUUCUUCUCUACUCACAAUCUUGCUUUUAUAAAUUAGUAAUGGAUUUUUCAAGUACUUUUCAGUAUCUUCCAAAUGAUCCCAUAGUUUUUGUCCCUUUUGCUAUUAAUAUGGUGGAAAAUACAAACAGUUUCUGUGUUGUGAGCCGUUCUCACUUGACGAGAAUGAUCCCCAUUUGGUAUAAACCUGAAUGUAUUUCUGGAUUUAUUUUUUAUUUAUGUAUUUUUCUUGUGGUAAAAUAUGCAUAAUGUACCAUUUUAACCAUGUUGAAAAAUGUACAGUUCAGUGGCAUUAAGCACAUUCACAUUGUUGUGCAGCCAUCACCACAAUCUGUCUUCAGAACUUUUUCAGCAUCCCAGUAGACACUCUGUACCCAUUAAACAGUUAUUCAGUGUUCUACUUUAUGUCUCUAUGAAUUUGCCUAUUCUAAAUACCUCAUAUAAGUGGAAUCAUGUGUCUGGCUAUUUGACUUCUGUUUUCAAGAUUUGCCCAUGUAGCAUGUAUCAAAAGUUAAUUCCUUUUUUAUGACUCAAUAUUCCAUUGUGUGAAUAAAUCACAUUUUGUUUCUCCAUUCAUCUGUUGAUGGACAGACACUUGGGUUGUUUCUACUUUUUGUGAAUUG
rnacentral:sRNA from 1 species